GCUCCUUGAGCGUGCUCAGUCGCUUGCCUCAGAGAGUUAUCCUCCCUCCCUUUUCACUCAUCCUUUAUACUCAUUAAACAGAAUGGAGAUGUGUGAUAGAGCAGGAAGGCAGAGGGAGAAAGACAGAGUGAGAGGGUGAAAGAGAGACAAUUAGAUUCUCUGACACCCCGCUAAUUGAGCGAUCUCCUUUGUGCCCGGCCCAGCCUGCCAAGUUUUAAUUAGCAACUAAUCAAAUCAAUAUGGAGCCUGCCAAGCGAAGAGGAAGGCACCUAUCGUGGGAUGGCUGCCUGGAUCACAGCUGCCUUUGACCUUUGCAGCUGGAGGCUACGAAUGAUGAGGGCCAGUGGUGCCGAUGGUGGGUAGAUCUCUUUGUGAGAGAGGGAUUGAGUGAUUCUGAGAGAGGCGAGGUAAUGAUGUCUGGCAUUACCCAGCUGCUUCAGUGGCGAAGGAGGGAGCAGUGCACGCUUUGGUGAGCUCCAUGACCCUCUCAGCCUGUACUCUGAGUGCAUGUUCAUGAGUUUUGAGAGAGAGAUGAGAAUCUGAUCCUCUCCAAAAUGUGCCGAAAUCUAUGUCAGGUAGAACAUACACCUAUCAGCACAAUGAUGGGUGAAAUGCUGCAGCAGCAUGAGAGAGAGACAUGCACAUGCUUACACAAAGUGAAAUCAUCAUACAGGCAGGGUGUGAAAUUUAGAGGGUCUUGGGGAGAAGGGGUAUCAGGCAAACUACACUGACUAAUACACAUAAUCAAUAUGAGGCCACAUCCACUUAACUUUUGCUAUGAUUACGCCUAGCAUCCACACUACUCUGGUGUUUUCAGAAACCUAAAACGGAGACAUUCGAAAAUGCUGCGGAUCUCGUUUUAGUUGCAGGGUUUCAGGGUUGCGUUUUAGACUGGACGGGCAGAAACAAAUACCUUUGGAAACGAUGAAGCAGACACCCACAUUUACUUCCUGAUUGGGUAGUAUCAUUCAUGAUGUGCCGUUCCCUGAUUUGUCAUGCCUCUAUUACACUUUCCGGAAGAAAACAAACAUCAGCUUUGACUACCAGUGGUUCAUUCAACAUAGAUAACGAAUUACAAGCGUUUCUGCUAGCAGCUGUUGUGCAGUUAAAUUAUACCUUUUAUAAUGCCACUACUGCCAACAUGCACAGCUAUUAUUUGAGUGAUUUGUGACAAGACCCAUGUCCAGCAGUGUUAUCAACCCUACAUGGGGUGUUGGUUUUGGGUGAGGCCAGGAAGAACCAGUGCAUGCUGGGAUAAUUUUAUCAAUGAACUUGUGGUUCCUGAGGAAUGGCAAGAAAACUUUAGAAUGUCCAGAUCAGCCCUGAUGAACCUCAGUGAAAGACUACAUCUGUACAACAAAAAUGAGGGCGCCUGUGGGUGUACUUACAAAGGUAGCAUGCACGUUGUAUUACCUGAGUGACGAGGGAAGACUGAAAAAACGCUGAUGCAUUUGGACUAUCCCAGCAAGUUGUUUCAGUCAUAAUCUGACAAGUCUGAAGGCCAUCACCAUCCUCACUGAGCACAAAACCCAAAGUGAAGGAUCUUCUUGUCAACUUCUACCAAACACACAGUAUGCCACAAUGCUUGGGAGACAUUGACUGCACACACAUCAAAGUAAAAUAACCCUACAUCUACAGGAAAGGGAAACAUUCUUUUAAUGUACCUUGUCCCUUUGCUUCUUCUGGGUGAUCCAGUCUAUCCCCUGAUGACGUACCUCAUGAAAGAAUACCCCAAAUGGUGGAGUUAUUGCACAGGAGCAGUGUUAUGGGCUAUCACUUUGCAAGGCUCACAUGGUAAUCGAGUGUUCAUUAGGAUGUUUGAAGGCAUGGUUUGUGGCUUCAAGGACAAUGGACAUAAACAUGGAGGAUUCUCAUUUUGUUAUCUAUGCUUGUUUUGCUCAGCACAACUAUUGUGAAGUUCACAAAGAAACUAUAAACAAACAAAACAUAAAUGCUACUCUCCAGUACGACAGGGACUUCCAACCACCUAGCAGAGCUACUAGUUUGUGAAGAACAAGGAGAGAGGAAACGAGUGAGAUGUGUGUUGACCAAAAUUCUUAAUUUUUUUAAGUAAAUUUGAUGUGUGUGAGAGAGAGAUAGAGCAAGACCUAGGCUAAUAACCCUAGUAGCGGCCUAGUUGUAUUGGAGUAUCUUUG